rnacentral:rRNA from 1 species
GACGGAGGGGGCGAGCGUUAUUCGGAAUUAUUGGGCGUAAAGGGCGCGUAGGCGGCUGUACAAGUCAAAGGUGAAAUCCCUCGGCUCAACUGAGGAACUGCCUUUGAAACUGUACGGCUUGAGGCCGGGAGGGGGUAGCGGAAUUCCCAAUGUAGCGGUGAAAUGCGUAGAUAUCAGGAGGAACACCUGCGGUGUAGACGGCUUACUGGACCAUAACUGACGCUGAGGCACGAAAGCGUGGGGAGCAAACAGG